UACGGAGGAUGCGAGCGUUAUCCGGAUUUAUUGGGUUUAAAGGGUGCGUAGGCGGGAUGCCAAGUCAGCGGUAAAAAUGCGGUGCUCAACGCCGUCGAGCCGUUGAAACUGGCGUUCUUGAGUGGGCGAGAAGUAUGCGGAAUGCGUGGUGUAGCGGUGAAAUGCAUAGAUAUCACGCAGAACUCCGAUUGCGAAGGCAGCUUACCAAACUAUAUCUGACGCUGAUGCACGAAAGCGUGGGUAUCAAACAGG
rnacentral:rRNA from 1 species